rnacentral:lncRNA from 1 species
GGCACCUUGUAUAUUUUAAUACGCAAUUAGUUUGAAGGUGACAUUAACUAUGUUGACUCUUGUUGCAUCACAUAUUAAGUCAUGAAUCUGAAUUUUGACUUUUAAGUUUUAACUAGAUUUUUAUUGACUGCAAGUUUUUUCCUCAAGUUAAACUCUUGUGCUUAUUGUAUCUUUUACUACCUCUCAUUUUGAACUAUUUUAAACUAAGGAUUUUAGGUCGUAUACUACAUUCAUAAAUACUACAAUAGCAUAUGCAAUCAUUUAAAACUUGCACCAUGUCACCUAAAACAACUGAUAGAGCUUGAAAUGAGAUCUUGGAUGCGGGCAAUAGUGCUAACCUCAAGAGAAUUUUAAAUCUUAUUAAGCCUUAUAAUGAUUGAAUUAUUCUAGAGUAAUGUUAAUGGGCUAAAAAAUUAUAGCCAUCUGUAGUCUAACACAAUUCGUAAGGUGAGUGAAUUUUCCUAUCAAGGAAUUAUACGUGCAAUUAUGGUUACUAUCAAUAUAGACAUGUUAAACAUUUAGUUAAAAUAUAUAAAUAUAGAUAAAAACAACAACCUAUAUAAAUUAUGUCAUGGAGGUUACUAAUAUGGUUUUAAAAUUUGUUAGCGUAUUAGUAUAUGAGUUGUUAAGGAAAUAUUUUGUUGAUGAGACAUAACAUAUAUAUAUUUAUCGCUCAUGCAUGCUGACACAGUGGGUAUGCUUACAUAUUAGAACUUAAUAUAUUAAUAUUGAUAGAAGUGGGUAAUGUACAAACAUCUAUCUGCUCUAUUUUUAUUUAAACAAAUUUUAAUAGGGUACUAAUUAUCUUUUAGAUAUAUAUAUAUAUUUGAGAGGAUAGUUAAUUUUCUUAGUAAUGAGAUGAAAGUUGUGUUACAUAAAUUAUUUAUUGUAAUAGGAGUACCUGAAUAAUUAGAUGCAAAUUUAGGUCUACUUUAGAUCAUGUUUCAUAGUGGUAUAUGUGGGUAAUUUAAAUAUAGAAUAUAGUGUCAUGAGUUAUUUCUAUGUUGUUUUAUGUAAUAGCAGAGGUUGGUAUUAUUUAGAAAAUAGAAUAGAUCCGAUAGCUAUUAUUAUCAAUGGUGAUUAUGUUAUAUUGAAUUGAUUGUCAAAUGUUUUAGAUUCUUGUGAGAAAAAUCUAGGAUCUAUCUUUUAUUUUCCUAUUGUGUCUCAUGAGGAUUAAUGUAGAGCCUCCAUUAAGGACCUCUAGUUAGCAUUUCUAGUAUUUAUCUUUUUUUAGAGUGACAUGCAUUUAGUCAUAAUCAUAAGAUAUAUAAACUCUUAUUACAUCCCUUCCUGUGACUUCACAAAUUAUAGUUUAGCUUUCAACUUUUAAAGUUAUAUAAUUUUUUCAUGUGUUAAAAGAAACUCUAGUUUUUUAUUUUUUUAUUUUUUAUUCAAAAUUUAUUUUUAGUAAAAAGUGUUUAGGUCUUACUCCCUCCGGUCCAUUUUUUUGGCUAAAGUUAGAAUGACAAAAUCUCCUAAAUUACACUUUAACCACUCAUUUGUUCUAUAUUAUAUUAUUUAUGCUUAUAAACUUAUAAUCAUUGGAUAGUAUAAUUUCUUACAAAUCUAAUCAUAUAAAGUUUGUAUUAUAAUAGUUUAAAAUAUUAUCUUAAUUAUUGGUCAAUGUUUUAAAGUUUGAAUCUUGAUAUGCAUGUGUGCCAGAUAAAAUGGACUGAAGGGAGUAGUAAUAUUGAUUUCCGCAUGUUAAUUAAGUUGAAACUCAGAGUGUGCCCUAGCACUGAACUUGUUAAAUUUGUUAUAUUAUAGAGAUUACAUGUGUAUAGUAUUAUUUUAUAUAUCAUAGAGUCUAAAAUUUUAAUUACCAAUAUUGAUAUGAUAAUGUUUUAGUUACAAUGUAUAGAGUUAUUUCAAAACAACUUAUGAAAUUCAUUGUUAGGGAGAAUUGUCGUUGUUAUGUUAUUGCUAUGUGGUUUGUUAAUUAAACAUCUUUCAUGCUUAUAAGUUAUUAAAACAAAUAUUUAUCCUAAUGUAUAUAUGUUUACUUGGUAUACAUAGUCAAACAUAGCAUUAUGGUUAUUUAAUUCCAUAGUAGUAGAAGUUUGUAGUUUAGAAAUAUAUAUGUCUCAUACUUUAUGAAUAUUGAUUUAUUCUUUCUAUAAGAGCAUAUAUUAGUAUUUACAUAUAGAUUUGAGAGUGGUGGGUAAUUUAGAUGCAAUGUGAGAGGGUUAUUGUGAAAAAUUAUGUUUCACAAUGACAAAAUGGGAAAUUUAGAUAUAACUUUAGGGGUUAUUUUGAAAAAAAAAUUCAUAAUGACAAGUAUAGAUAAUUUAUAUACUAUUUUGAUUUUUUUUAAUGGCGGGGGUGGGUAAUUUAUAUGCAAAAUUAGUGGGUUACUUUAUGUAUUUUUUAUAAUGGUAGAGGUGUGUAAUUUUUAAUAAAUAUAUAGAAAUGAUGAUUAGAGCCUAUCAAAUUAAAGGCUAGAUAUUUUUUAUUAUUGUGAGAAUUUCUAGAAAUUAUCUUUUUUCUAGCGCGUCUGGUGACAGUUAACUGUAAUGUCUCUGUUGGGACCUCUAAUUAGUAAUAGUAAGAAGCAUGAGGCCUAAUAUAAGCUCACGAUUUGGUUUUUUUUCUUCACUCUUUCUCAUCCAAACGCUUAUUUGUAACUUAGGAUUUCAAUUUUAUGGUUAUUCCACUUUUAUAUUUUUUCCUAUGUUUUGAGAAUACUGUGUCCCAAAGGGGCCUGAACAACAAAAACAGAAUAAUGUGUGCCUAUAUAUACUCUAGUUCGUCCAUAAAACUAACAUGCAUAUCGUGUUUCAUGUAUACCCGAUUGUGCUAACAAUUUUAACAUAAUGUUGAUUUUGUAGCAAUCUAUGCAUGUUCUAUAACAGAAAUUUAAGAUAUCUGUACUAGAAUACUUCCAAAGAUUUGGUACCACGCGCGUACUAAAUUUAAGUUGGAAAUAAGAGAGACAAGACAAUACUGUACCAUGUAUUAUCGGAUAUACAUUUGCGGACCGUUUCCAUAUGUUUUGUCGGCAAAGACCCGACAGACCUUUGUGCUGUAUACGCAUACGGAGUAUGCAUCAUAUGCAUGCAGUUCACUGUUCACACUGUAUGUACUCCUAUGUAGAGUCUUACUAGGACACACUGUACAGAACCUUCCAAAGUCCCUGUAGUACGCUACGGGAAUUAAUUACUGAUAGUGUUAGGUGAAUUAAUGAUGCCGAUAGCUAACUAUAUGGCCUUGUUUAGCUCCAAAAUAUUUUGCA